GUUUACUGUUGCUCGCCUUUAUCAAUACAAAGAACUGGCAAUCGAAUCACUGAACAUAAUCGAUGUCCACGCUUUGGCUGUACUGAAGUCUGAAGAUUUCUUGCUCUUGUUGCCGGAGCUCUUCAAGAAAUUCUCAUCCGCGACUCGUUUUAUGCUUUCGAAAUGGACAUAUUCCGUGCGGUUCGUCGCUGGAUCGAUGAGAACCAAAAUUACGUAGAUCCUGAUAAUAAAAACAAAGCUUUAUCUGCCGUCAGAUAUUCGUUAACGAGUGAUGAAGAACUAUCCGAGGUUAGGGAAUCGCAGAUGACAAUUGCGUUAAUGUCAACUACUUUGACAAUUCAGUUAUCUUCAAAACCGACGACGGUAUUACAAUAAAGUUGGGUCAUCUGUCAUUAAUAAACU